UACGUAGGUGGCAAGCGUUGUCCGGAUUUACUGGGCGUAAAGAGCGCGCAGGCGGUCGGAUUAGUCGCGUGUGAAAGCCCCCGGCUCAACUGGGGAGGGUCACGCGAUACUGUUCGACUCGAAGGCAGGAGAGGGAAGUGGAAUUCCCGGUGUAGUGGUGAAAUGCGUAGAUAUCGGGAGGAACCCCAGCGGCGAAGGCGGGCUACUGGGCCGAUACUGACGCUGAUGCGCGAAAGCCAGGGGAGCGAACGGG
rnacentral:rRNA from 1 species